rnacentral:rRNA from 1 species
UACAGAGGGGGCAAGCGUUAUUCGGAAUUAUUGGGCGUAAAGGGCGCGUAGGCGGCUUGGCAAGUGGAUGGUGAAAUCCCUCGGCUUAAACCGAGGAACUGCCGUCCAAACUGCUUUGCUUGAGACCGGGAGAGGUGAGUGGAAUUCCCAGUGUAGCGGUGAAAUGCGUAGAUAUUGGGAGGAACACCAGUGGCGAAGGCGGCUCACUGGACCGGUACUGACGCUGAUGCGCGAAAGCGUGGGGAGCAAACGGG